rnacentral:tRNA from 1 species
GCUGAGGUAGUUAAAUGAAUAACUGGGCUCUGAAGAGGCUCGAUUAGAGUGUUAAAUUCCUCUCUUUAGCAU